rnacentral:rRNA from 1 species
UACAGAGGUCUCAAGCGUUGUUCGGAUUCAUUGGGCGUAAAGGGCUCGUAGGCGGUUUGUCGCGUCGGGAGUGAAAACACGGGGCUUAACCCCGUGCCUGCUUCCGAUACGGGCAGACUAGAGGUAUGCAGGGGAGAACGGAAUUCCUGGUGUAGCGGUGAAAUGCGCAGAUAUCAGGAGGAACACCUGAGGUGAAGACGGGUUGCUGGGCUGACACUGACGCUGAGGCGCGAAAGCCAGGGGAGCAAACGGG